UCAUAAUUCAUAAGAAUUUCAAUUAAAAUAAUAAUUACAAAUAAACAAAAAGGAAAUCUUAUUGGCUACUGCUCAAACAUUUAAAUGCUCAUUUCGCUGACACCUCGCCAGAAAAAUCUUCAUACCAAGCAACCGCCAUCUAUCUUUUUCCUCCCCUCCGCCAAAUUAUACCGCCAUAAUCCCUAAUUCCGACGACAAACCACCGCCACCGGCGACUCAAAUGCAAAGAAAUUGGUGAGCUUUAACAUCAGAUUCGAGUCUCGAACUUCCGACGAUGUCUUCGCAGAAACGCUCUUCUCCGAUCUCAGCUUCCCCGGCGGCGAGUCCCGGCGCCGAUCUCAAGCAACGAGUCAUAGCCUGCCUGAACAAGCUCUCCGACCGGGACACACUCGCCGUC
rnacentral:lncRNA from 1 species